GACGAACGCUGGCGGCGUGCGUAAUACAUGCAAGUUGAGCGAUGAAGAUUGGUGCUUGCCCCAAUUUGAAGAGCAGCGAACGGGUGAGUAACGCGUGGGGAAUCUGCCUUUGAGCGGGGGACAACAUUUGGAAACGAAUGCUAAUACCGCAUAACAACUUUAAACAUAGUUUUAAGUUUGAAAGAUGCAAUUGCAUCACUCAAAGAUGAUCCCGCGUUGUAUUAGCUAGUUGGUGAGGUAAAGGCUCACCAAGGCGAUGAUACAUAGCCGACCUGAGAGGGUGAUCGGCCACAUUGGGACUGAGACACGGCCCAAACUCCUACGGGAGGCAGCAGUAGGGAAUCUUCGGCAAUGGACGAAAGUCUGACCGAGCAACGCCGCGUGAGUGAAGAAGGUUUUCGGAUCGUAAAACUCUGUUGGUAGAGAAGAACGUUGGUGAGAGUGGAAAGCUCAUCAAGUGACGGUAACUACCCAGAAAGGGACGGCUAACUACGUG
rnacentral:rRNA from 1 species